AUUGAACGCUGGCGGCAUGCCUUACACAUGCAAGUCGAACGCGAAAGGGGGCAACCCUGAGUAGAGUGGCGGACGGGUGAGUACUACAUCGGAACGUACCCAGUAGUGGGGGACAACCUCGAGAAAUCGAGGCUAAUACCGCAUACGACCUACGGGUGAAAGCGGGGGACCGCAAGGCCUCGCGCUAUUGGAGCGGCCGAUGUCCGAUUAGCUAGUUGGUGGGGUAAAAGCCACCAAGGCGACGAUCGGUAGCUGGUCUGAGAGGACGACCAGCCACACUGGGACUGAGACACGGCCCAGACUCCUACGGGAGGCAGCAGUGGGGAAUUUUGGACAAUGGGGGCAACCCUGAUCCAGCCAUGCCGCGUGCGGGAAGAAGGCCUUCGGGUUGUAAACCGCUUUCGGCCGGAACGAAAUCGGGCGGGUGAAUAUCCCGCCUGGAUGACGGUACCGGAAGAAGAAGCACCGGCUAACUACGUGCCAGCCGCCGCAGUAACAC
rnacentral:rRNA from 1 species